AUAAACACUAUGAAGAGAAAGAGUAGAAAUAUAAUUCUUUUAAAGAGAGCUUCCGGUGGGUGCAAGGAAGAAAAGAUUUUAUUUUGAAUACAGCUCUGAGUGAAGCACCAAACACCUUUUAGGUUAGUAGGCUGCCUUGGGAACCCUGCAUCCCUUAUAAUGCUAGAGUAUCAUGCGUUGCAUCGUACUUGAAGAGGUGGGUGUUGUGAAACAUCCAUAAAUUGAGGUGGUAACACGGGAAUUAUGCUCUCGUCCUCUGG
rnacentral:ncRNA from 1 species